rnacentral:rRNA from 1 species
UACGUAGGGGGCUAGCGUUGCUCGGAAUCACUGGGCGUAAAGCGCACGUAGGUGGGUCGUUAAGUCGGGGGGGAAAUCCUGGAGCUCAACUCCAGAACUGCCUUCGAUACUGGCGAUCUUCGAGUCCGGGAGAGGUGAGUGGAACUGCGAGUGUAGAGGUGAAAUUCGUAGAUAUUCGCAAGAACACCAGUGGCGAAGGCGGCUCACUGGUCCGGUACUGACGCUGAGGUGCGAAAGCGUGGGGAGCAAACAGG